rnacentral:rRNA from 1 species
GACGAACGCUGGCGGCGUGCUUAACACAUGCAAGUCGAACGGAAAGGCCCUGCUUUUGUGGGGUGCUCGAGUGGCGAACGGGUGAGUAACACGUGAGUAACCUGCCCUUGACUUUGGGAUAACUUCAGGAAACUGGGGCUAAUACCGGAUAGGAGCUCCUGCUGCAUGGUGGGGGUUGGAAAGUUUCGGCGGUUGGGGAUGGACUCGCGGCUUAUCAGCUUGUUGGUGUGGUAGUGGCUUACCAAGGCUUUGACGGGUAGCCGGCCUGAGAGGGUGACCGGCCACAUUGGGACUGAGAUAGGGCCCAGACUGCUACGGGAGGCAGCAGUGGGGAAUAUUGCACAAUGGGCGGAAGCCAGAUGCAGCAACGUCGCGUGCGGGAUGACGGCCUUCGGGUUGUAAACCGCUUUCGCCUGUGACGAAGCGUGAGUGACGGUAAUGGGUAAAGAAGCACCGGCUAACUACGUG